rnacentral:lncRNA from 1 species
GUAAUCACAUAUAACCAAAUGGAAAGAUAACAUCCACGAGGACAAACCUUGCAUCUCUUUAUGAUGAAAUGGCAAGGGACGAUGCUCUGUCGACAAAGAAACCUUGCUAUGAGAAUAGAUGUACUCAUAGUCUUUUGUCAGGCGAAUAGACAACGAAAUCACAACCAAAACAAAACAAAUUCCUUGGAUGUAUGAUUCUUCAACCACAGGAGACUACACCUAACUAACAGGAAAGAUAAGCUCAUAAGGCCUAAACCCUACGAGUCGGACCUACACUGUCAAGACACACAAGGUAAACACAUACCAUUACCUGAAAACUUUGCAAUGACACAAAAACAUGACUGUGAAUCCAUCAAACCAUUGGAACGACCUCAUAUAUAAGAGAAAGAUCCCAAACCCCUUUGAUGGUCCUGUAAUUGCAGGAAAAAACUCUGCUUAAAUCACUUCCAACAAACGUUGAGCUUCUUCUACAUAAUCCUUACCAAGUGCACAAGCCACAAAAGCAUCACUUCAUAUUUGAACAACAAUUAUCGUUCUAAGAUUCGAGGUUGAGCCGUAAGUCAUAAUUGUUACAAAAGUUCUCCUCCUUACAAGGAGAGAGUGACCCACAACCACAAACACAAAGGUUCUCAUCGACAAAGCGAGUG